rnacentral:lncRNA from 1 species
CAGAUUACCCAGGCCUUGCACCUGGAUCAAUGGGCUGCCCUAAUGAAGGAUAUCAAAAAUGAAGGGGCAGCUAAAGAAAAAUAAAAGACACCUCAGAAAGUAGCCUGCCUCUUUGACAAGGGACAUGCCUUCAGAGGAACAUAACAGAAACCUCUGAGAAUUGUCAACAAUAAAAAGACUGAGCAACAAGGGAAACUGGUAGGAAGCCAAAGGUUUUAAGAGGUGAGAGUGGAGAAAUGCUGUGCUUUUAUUGAUCCUCUCCAAAGGAACACCUUUAAAAAAGGAUGAUAUAAAUUGGCACUAAUCCUCAUAAGAGAAGAAUGUCAGCCAAGCCAGUGAAGGAAUUUUGGAGUUCGCUUUGAAGACUUAUGCACUCUCCAGCUGGUCACAGACACUACACUCACCCAUUUUGUAAAUACACUUUUUUUUGUUUUGUUUUUUAAGCUUCUCACUUCAGUAUCUACCAGACAGGCUUGUGCAAGGAGUGAACUAGUAUUGUAUCUGUUAAUUUCUUUGCAGGCAAAAAUCAAGUUACCAGGAAAAUAUUUUUUAAAAACCACGAACAGUCUAAGAGCACUGAACAUUUUGAAUCAUUUGCCUUUUCUCAACACUGGAUUUUAAGCAAGGAACAAGACUAUUCCAGUUCUAAAUGCUUUAAUGAACAAGGGGUAUUGGGUUUUAGCAUCAACAUGAUCUAUCCUCACUCUGAAGCUUUAACUUGAGUAGCUGCUGUGCUUUGUAAAGCUUCAAUCCAAUUCAUUUGAUAACUACAAUUACCAAAUCUGGGCAUUGCUGACUACACAGUUCAAAAAAACAGCAUGGAGGGAAGACCUGCUGAGAACCUUAGAAUCUAUCGAUAAGCUCUUGAAAUGGUUUAAAGUAAUAAACCACUUCAAUUGAAAGGGCAAUAAAAUGUUUUUCGUGUAUAUAUGUACAUAAGAACACAAGAGCUAAAUGAAUGGAUAUAUUUUUCAAAAUCAAUAAAGAAAAAAUUGCAUAUUUGUAUUAGACUCAAGGAAAGACAUAAUGGCUGUGGAUUUUUAAAGCUCAGGAUGUACACUGUCAGUGCUGCUCAGAUACCAGAAGAAUGGGAGGGCCGUUUCAGAUAAGGUAGUCAGCAAAGUUCUCUCUGAGGUGACAUCCAAGUUGAAGUACAUUAAGAAGGUAGCCAAAUGAUAUUCAGAGGAAGAGCAUUCUAAGCAUAUGGGAAGGAGCAUGCCUGGUGUGUUCAAAAAAAAGCAAGGAGCAGAGUGAGCUAAAGUAAAGAAAUAGAAGAUAACGUGGCCAGAGAAAUAGUGACGGGGCAGAUCAAGGGAGAUUAUGGACCAUGAU